rnacentral:piRNA from 1 species
UUCAGAUGAUGAGUUAAAACUGU